rnacentral:rRNA from 1 species
UACAGAGGUGGCAAGCGUUGUUCGGAAUUACUGGGCGUAAAGGGCGCGUAGGCGGUUCGAUAAGUCCCGUGUGAAAGCCCCCGGCUCAACUGGGGAACUGCACGGGAAACUGACGGACUUGAGUUCGGGAGAGGGAAGCGGAAUUCCGGGUGUAGCGGUGAAAUGCGUAGAUAUCCGGAGGAACACCGGUGGCGAAGGCGGGUCUCUGGGCAACAACUGACGCUGAGGAGCGAAAGCGUGGGGAGCGAACAGG